UGGAGGACUACCUGGAGGGCAAUGAGAUCAACCACCGCAAAAAGAAUAAGGAAUACCGAGUCCUCACGGACAUCAUGCUGCUCCAGGCGGCGGCAGAGAAU